AGGUUAAUUGAUACAGUUCACAUAUCGACAAUUGGAAGGAGUAAAAAUCAUUAAAGGAGUUAGAAGAAUGAAGUGGAAGGUCAGGAAAAUUUAAAGUAUAUCGAUUGCAAAACUUGAUAACAAGAAAAGGAUUAUCCAACCCAGAUCAUCUUUAUCCCAGAAGACAUUUGCGAGGGUUAUCCAAAUUGAAACUUUGUUGUGCAUAUUUCUAGCACAGUAUGAGAGGCUUAUGGUGUGAAAGAGAAAUUCCUGAAUAUAAGCACUUCAGAAAUGUUGGAGGGGAACCUAUAGGCAAACAUCCGCGCCGUACUUGGGUUGGUUGCUUAAUUGGCUAACUUCUAAACAUGUUACCGCUAUAAUAUUUGAGAAUAUGACGUUGCCCGUAAAAUUCAUGAACCAACACCGGAACAAGAGGAAUCUCACU